UCUCCGUAGGUGAACCAGCGGAAGGAUCAUUACCGAAUAACCGAGGCGCAAGGGCUUUUGAUGACACGAAUCGUUGCUCACGCCGGAGUGCCCUGACACCCAUCCACCUCACCCCUAUGUCCCCCACGGCGUCAGUCCCCCUUGUCCUUUUUCGUAGGGGGGGUUACGUUAUCACAAAAUGUAUCAAAACUGUGAACAACGGAUCUCUUGGUUUUGGCAUCGCGCAAUAACUACACCUAUCAAAAAAGCACACCUCGGAACUCCAAUCACCAAAGAUCG
rnacentral:misc_RNA from 1 species